UACGGAAGAUGCGAGCGUUAUCCGGAUUUAUUGGGUUUAAAGGGAGCGUAGGCGGAUUGUUAAGUCUGCGGUUAAAUGUCAGCGCCCAACGCCGGCAUGCCGUGGAAACUGGCGGUCUUGAAUGCGGUCAAGGGAGGCGGAAUUCGCCAUGUAGCGGUGAAAUGCUUAGAUAUGGCGAAGAACCCCGAUUGCGAAGGCAGCCUCCUGGCCCGUGAUUGACGCUGAGGCUCGAAAGCGCGGGUAUCGAACA
rnacentral:rRNA from 1 species